rnacentral:lncRNA from 1 species
GGUCAUUCGUAAGAUAGCACUGUUGCUCAAAUACAUGUUGUCUUUCCUUUUCUCUGGAGUUUGUCCAGGAAAACUAUAGUUUCUACUGAUUCCCAGAUUAUAGUCAGUGCUAUAUUUCAUUUUGAUUUUUCUUUUGUUUUUAAAGAUUAUAAUGUGAUUGCAUCAUUUCCCCCUUCCUUUUCCUGCCUCCAAGCCUUACCUCUCCUUGUCAUUCAAAUUCAUGGCCUCUUUUUUUCAUUGAUUGUUACAUAUACACAUGUGUAAAAGUACGUAUAUAUGUAUAUUCCCAAAUAAGUACAACCUGUCCAGUCCAUAUGAUCUUACUCACGUAUGUUUUCAGAGGAAACUAUUUGGUACUAGAUAACCGAUUAGUAAGUGCAUUCUCCCCCAGGGAAGACUGUUUCUCCUCUGAGCAUUCCCUAGUUGCUUGCAGUUCUUUGAAGCCUUGUGGUCUUUCCUUGUCCGCUUUGGCACACCUAUGGCUGUUGUCCUUGUCCAGCCUGUUGUUAGGCAGUCAUAUCCGAGACUUUAUGGUUCUGGCAUUACUAAGAGACAGUCUCACAGCAAAUUCAUUGAUGUUCAGGCUGGAAAGAUAUCUCUCUCAGUGGUUAAGAGCACUAGCUACUCUUCCAGAGGUUCUGAGUUCGUUUCCCAGCAGCCUCAUGGUGGCUCACAACCAUCUGUAAUAGAAUCUGAUUUCUUCUUCUGGUGUGCAUGAAAACAGAGCACUCAUAUAUAUUAAAUAAA